rnacentral:rRNA from 1 species
GGGGCGGGGAUUUAAACACCUAGCUGAAGUGGACUCUCAGGACUAGCUCUUCCUGUCUAGUAUGCAGCGGCGAGGAGGGAAGGGGAGGAACGCGGCAGGGAGAGGGGCGCGGACGUUCCUACCGGUAGAAGAGGGCGGCGGAGGAGGGAGGGAGGUCACGGUGGCGCGACACCGAAGGGGGAAGGAGGAUCGUAGCAACUGCGUGGGGUACGGUUCCAGGGUCGGCUUGCCGCCGUUGAUAAAAGCCGCAGUAAGGAGCGUGCGGACUCUCUUGACGAGCAGCGGCUCAGGCAGGGUGACGUUCGUACCGUCGUGACGCUAGAUGAGCGAGGAGGGAGCGGCAUCCGUCCGUCUACCAGUCCUUGGAAUUAGGGAUCCUGAUGAGGGCUUGUUCGUAAGUCUAAGAACUUCUACAGAGGUGUGUAAGAUAAAGGUUAUGUAUCUUGUAAUCUUGCGUUCGUAUACGAAAGACCUACAGAGUCCAUACCUUAAUCAGUGAUGACGUUCGAAACAGAUGUGAAGUGUUCAAUAUACCUAGUUCAAUUAAAAAUCGUCUUAUUGUACACUUUAUAAUGAAAACCUAUCUCAAAUUUACAUCGUACAAAGGAAGAACUGGUUUUCCACGAGCUCAAGAAACAGAUCGUAUAAUUUCCUCGGAACUACAACUGUUAAGGUGUUGAAAUAACCUAGAAAAUAGUACUAUAAAAGGUCAGACGACGGUCUAACAAGUGUGUUACACGGUGUUGGAAAAGACGUCCAUUACACAGUUCGAAAACCUGACGAUACAACGGACUAUCAAGAUCGGUUAACCCAAAAGUACACGAGCGAACACUCUACUUACUUACCAUUUUCUAGUUUUCAACAUACUAAGAUGAUUAGGAGGGAAUAUUUAGUAUCAAACGUCGAACUCCUACUCCAUACACGAAACUAAAAACCUGGAGAACGUCGAACUCCUGCUCCAUACACGGGGAGGGGACCAAUGAACGGUCAUUGGUACAGCCUAAGUAAUGUUAAUAAUUGGGUAAACAUCCUUCUCUAUCUAGACGAGACCACCACCCUCUGUUUGUUACGGAAAACCACGAUAAAAGAUUUAUUCUAUAUACGUACAGAAGUGUGGAGGUAACGACAACGCGGGUAUUGGGUUCGAGGCGACGACGGUGUAACAACCAGGCGUUUCUCUUGCGUUUGCCAUAUCGAGACUUUAGGUGCUGUCUGUAACGAGAGUAAGACAACGAUAACAACACCUUGCGGCUCCUGCGUACGUGGUGCCGGCGGCCAAGAGGGUUAGUCCCCCGCACUUUAGACGGUAGUCAUACAAAACACACACUAAGCUUCAAACCGUUGGCCGUACUACGCUCUUUUUUGUUGUCACCUAUGGAGGGUAGUUAACAACUAUCAACCAAACAAUGAAGUCUGAGUGCCCACUUAGGUGUCCAUUACAAACGUGGUUAUUUUGACGUUGGAAGUAACGUCCUGUUGAAGAUUGACUUAGAGUACCUAAACAGAAGUGUAUUACAAGAGAAUCAGCCUAACACCGUACGUCGUUCCACUCGUUGGUUAGUAGUAGCACUCUAAAGAUAAGACUUACGACUUCUUUCGAUGAUUCGUUCAAGUACAUACAUGUUGUCAAGAUUAACGAAGAAAAUCUCUUCAGGGUCAACAUGCUUCGAUGUGACACUUAAGAGUAGAAUGAUUUAAAAAGUAAGUUGAAGAGGUAAAACCUGACAUAUAAAAGUAAUGAUAGAGAAGAUGGAAUAAAAUCGCUAAAAUUAGUCGACGCUACCGCAAGUUGUUGAGAAAUACAAAAAUCAGAAAAAUAAAUGAUCGUAACACAAUACGAAACUCUAAGUUUCUUGGUGUCUGCGUGACACUCUGAUAAUACGGGUUCAAUCGGUUCUCGGAUUCUGUAUGAUUUUUGUAAAAAAUCUAUUCUAUCAAUACUUUUUUCUCUGAAACAAUUAGCCAUGACUUUACGUAUUGUAACUACGAUCUUAGAAUAAAAAGCGACAUAUAUUAUAGUUGUUGUACUAAAAAAGGCCCAGUAUCUAACGAACCUUUUUACGUUGUAACUAUACGAUCUUAGGACUCCUCUAAUACCGGCCACUACCUCUAAUAAAACAUACGAGUACCACGGCACCGCUGACGUGCCGCCUCCCGACGUGCGAACUGAAGCUGUAGUCGCAGAAGUUGUUCCUCUUCUAGAGGGAGCGGUCGGUACUGCUCAUAUACCACCGCCCGCCCACGUUGGAGAAGGGUAACGAGGGCCUCCGCAGUUCCCACAGUACAGGAAACAGCACUAGCCUACCCCGAGGGUCCAAGUCAGGGUAGAAGCGAAACGAGGGAGUAACGCGUCAAAGAGAGGAUAGACAUCUCUAUACAGAGAGAUGACGAUAAGAUGACUUAUAAUAAGAACCUCAUAGUAUCGGUUAACGAAAUGACCACUUGUACACAUCCUCCUAAACACCAAAUCGUAAUAAUCUGGAGACACUUAUGUACAUAUCCUCCUAAGAACCUCGAAACAUGUUAGUCAUUCCGGUAGUUUCGAUUAAGGAAAUGACCACUUGUACAUAUCCUCCUAAGUAAUAAUCUGGAGAGAUGUAUUGAUGUAUAUGUACAAACGAGACACGAUGUUUUUUUCUGAGAGGAAACCACCACUCUUAUUUUUCCUUAUUUAAAUGAUAAGCCUUAUUUUAAAUUAACCCACUUGACAUCUUCGACUGAAACAAUCUCUUUCCAACUCUUGGGUGGGAAAGAAAGAACAUCCUAACUCUUCUAAAACUUAAAUCUUGGAAAAUCUACAUGUUUUUCUUUCGUCUAACACGAACAUCUAUUACUACCACUCUUCUAGUUUAAAUACCAUACCCCUCUCACCAAAUUGUCUAACAUGAACAUGUCUUUCUCUCGUCUAACACAAAGAAAAGUCUUCUAUUGAAAACGGUCGGUAACACAACGAACAUUCGUCUUAUGAAUAACUAAAUCAAGAGAGUGGUGACUAAGAGGACUUCGACAUUAAACAUAACUCAAUAUAUAUAACACAGUUAGGAUUAUAAUCAUAUACGUUGGAUUGUGCUACUAUGGUUGCCACAAUGUACAGUGUUAUACAAAUCAAGGAAUCAAGACAAAUAAACGUAGAAGAUGAAAGUCCGGUACCUGUGUACGUUGUAUACGUCUUGGUUUUUGAUCCACAUUAGACUACAAGGGAAACAUCUUGGACGAAACUCUUUUAUCAUGGGUUACACAGGUACGAAAGGUG